rnacentral:snoRNA from 1 species
AUCCCAUGGUGAGGGCAUUCCCUUUGGUAUUUUUUGAAUCGGUCCCAAGCUUUAAAAAGCGACUCAUCCCGCUUUUGCUCAAAUGAUUGAAUUUUGUGACGAU